CAGCAGCCACGGGAAUACGAAGGGGGCUAGCGUUGCUCGGAAUUACUGGGCGUAAAGGGCGCGUAGGCGGACAGUUAAGUCGGGGGUGAAAGCCCGGAGCUCAACCUCGGAAUUGCCUUCGAUACUGGCUGUCUUGAGUGUGAGAGAGGUGUGUGGAACUCCGAGUGUAGAGGUGAAAUUCGUAGAUAUUCGGAAGAACACCAGUGGCGAAGGCGACACACUGGCUCACUACUGACGCUGAGGCACGAAAGUGUGGGGAGCAAUCAGGAUUAGAGACCCCUGUAGUCCCUGUCUCUUAUAC
rnacentral:rRNA from 1 species